UGAGUUGCAUUUCUUUGAGAGUCUUGCUUCCUUUAAAGGUCUUGCUUUGAAGGCCAGUGCAUCCUCAAGGCUUCUUCUUCAUCCUCCUAAUUAGUUGAUCACUUUUCCUUUAAGUUCUUGGCAUUGACAGCAACUAAGGAGAGUGGAGCAUCUAGUUUUGGGUUGUUCAUCAAGAUUUCAGAUUAUUGUAGCAAGCCUUAGUUCGCGGGACUUGGUGAACCCAACUUUAUAGCUCGGAGCCAGGAGAAGAUCAAGUCUAGGAUCGGGGUGUCUUGGAGUCGUAUUUCCUGCUUUGGUAGUAUCUUUGUAGUGCAUUCUUUGUGUGAGCAAGACUUGUAUCCGUAUGUAUAUUUUGGUCUGUAGGCUGCUUGUAUGACUAUAUUUCUGUAGGGCUACUUAAGCUCAUGCAUGUAUUAUUUCAGUUAUGUCACCUUAUUUGUAGUUCUGUAUUACUGUUCAUAUUCUACUCGUUAGGGUUGACUCUGACCAGGUUAAAUCUGAGGC